ensembl:lncRNA
CAGUCAAUUUUGUAUACCCAUGCAAAUAGCCAGCAACCACUGUGUUUAAAAUCGAGGAGGUCUGCUUGAAUUCAGGGAUCCAGGCUGUGAUAUUUUACUUCUAGAGUUUGGUAUUCGCUAUGCAGAAUUCUCCAGAAGUACAAAAGGAGAAGCCAUCAAGUAGGCAAGGCUGUAGCAUAAGAUGUUGCUGAGACCUGCUGUUGUCCCAUGGACCUCACUGCACACUCUCUUCUUCAGUUUGCCAGAAAAAUCUACCUGCAGGGUACAGCACGUUUUGUCUUGUACAUUUUGAAGAUCAGCGGGAUCCUUCACUGAGAAGUAUGAAGUACAUCAGGAGAGAAGAUCAUGUUCAUCGUGUUCAGCAGCUGAAGAGUUUUCUAAACUCAAUUAGUGCAAGAAUGCUGUGACCAAUGGAAAAAUGUUUGAUGCUUGCCAGAAAGCAAAUCUCCCCAGCUCUUGAAAAUAGCAUUCUGAAAACAAAAGCUCUAAAAGAGUAGCAUCUGGGAAGGUCAAAGAAUGAAGUUUUGAAUAUUCCUGUUCAAAUAUGCCAACAAGAAAUGGAGUGAAGUUACUGAAGCACUAGCACGGGGAUUUGUAAGAGGCAACCAAGUCUUGCUGUGGCCAUAUAAGGCCUUUGGAAAAAGACGUUAUUUUGCUUCUUCAGUAUUGAUUGUAUCUGAAAGAUCCUGUUUUCCUUCUUCUCCUGCACAUGUCUUCCACAGAUCAGAUGGCUAUCUGUUUACACUGAAAAGGGUUUCUGCCCCUACCUUGGCUCUCUGUCUAUCCUGCAUAGUAACAACUGCUAAAGAAAAAC